AAGGGCAGAGAACAACAUCUCGGACGACCCUGUCAUGAUAAAUGCUGCUCGAUAUAUCAUACAGCGCUCGCUGUUCUUGCCAGUUCAGCGAGUUUGUCCUCUUUCUCGACAGCCCAAAUUCUCCCUGGCGCUACCUUGUUCAUCUUUCUUCUUCUGUGGAUUUCUUUUCUUAGCUUCUGAUUGGUCAUUUCCAGUUUGCUCAACAAAUCGGCUCGUUCAACAGCACACACGUCACGCUUUCAAUCCGACAGCUCCCGAAGUUUUUUGACAUGUUUAAAAAUGAUCGUGAGGUCGGGAAGUGCUCGUAAGGCACUCUGCUCGUCUCGCAAUUUCUCACACACCAUACGAGCCCCGACCAUACGAGAAGAGACGAUUUCCUCCCAUAACCAAAAAAAAAUCGCAUGCGAGCUCGUACGACCUCAAAAAUCGCACCGUGUACGCCCGCCUUAAGACGCUUAAACGUUUCUCGCAGAUUUGAAUUGCUAUGCAGUGUUGACGUGGAGGUCGCUUUUAACAGGGAAACGUAAGAAGUAAGUGUUUUGCCUCAUUUAAAAUAUGUAUUUUAUAACUGUAUGCUUCUAAACCAACAUAUAGUUUCUUACAGAUCUCAUUUGCUUUACAGUGCUAACGUAGAUCAUUUUUAACAGGGAAAGAUGCGGAGCAGACAGAGAAGUUGGUUUUAUCAAAGAAAACACAGAAAAUCUGAAUUGCUAUGCAGUGCUGAGGUGGAGGUAAUUUUUAACAGGGAAACACUAGGAAUAUUAAUUUCUAUGCAGUGCUGACGUGAAGGUCGCUAUAACAGUUUCUACAAUAUUUAAGAUGCUGUGAUGAUGAUACAUCCCGGAACCACUUCUGGCCAAAUUGGUUUCCAACAUAAGGGUGGAAUCAGACCUGGAUAACGCCCAACAUCUGGAACAGACAGACAGACACACACACA